CCGCACGACUCGGUGGUCGGCGUACGAGUGACCACGACUCGUUUCUACCUAGCUCGCGAGCCAAUGCUCACUUUCAAAGGGCUUCUAUGAUUGGCGCUGCGUCCGGCCAAUCGGUGACUGGUUUUCCUGGAAGCUACGACUUGGUCACUAUGUGGGGGGAAGGGGGAGACCGUGAGGCGAUGCGACAAGGAAGGGACGAUAUGGCGCGGAAAGGGAAGAGAGAAUAAAGUGGUUGAGGAUCGGACGAUGGUGGGGCAAGCGGUGGUACUCGGCCGUUGCAUUGUGGGGGUGUUGGCCUUCAACUUGACGGCGCAGUUUCACUGACCUGCCUGAGAAACUCGUGAUAUCCGCGCGGCUCGUGCCCCACGAGCGGACGUACCGACGCACGAAUGUCCAGAGAUGCCAGAGGGUACCGCUACUUAAGGGCCCACGAAUCCUAAAUAAACUUACCACGAUGUA